UGGUGACCUAAACCCUCACCAGAGUAACAAUUGGAGGGCAAGUCUGGUGCCAGCAGCCGCGGUAAUUCCAGCUCCAAUAGCGUAUAUUAAACUUGUUGCAGUUAAAAAGCUCGUAGUUGAAUUUUUGCGUGGUGUUAAUAUUGACUGAUGUCGAGAUUGCACUUCGCUUUUGGGAUUUUUCCCUUUUUACUUUGAGAAAAUUAGAGUGUUUCAAGCAGACUUUUGUCUUGAAUACUUCAGCAUGGAAUAAUAGAGUAGGACUAUUGGUUCUAUUUUGUUGGUUUGUGAACCUUAGUAAUGGUUAAUAGGAACGGUUGGGGGCAUU
rnacentral:rRNA from 1 species